rnacentral:misc_RNA from 1 species
GAAAAGUCGUAACAAGGUUUCCGUAGGUGAACCUGCGGAAGGAUCAUUAUUGUAUAACCGAGGUGCGAGGGCUGUCGCUGACCCGAAAGGUCGUGCACGCCCGAGUGCCCUCACACACAUCCAUCUCACCCCUAUGUGCACCACCGCGUGGGUCCCCCUUUGGCUUGUUCGGAGGGGGGCUUACGUUUUCACACAAACUUUGUAUGCAGUGUAGAAUGUAUUUUUUGUUUUUGCGAUCACGCAAUCAAUACAACUUUCAACAACGGAUCUCUUGGCUCUC